AUUGAACGCUGGCGGCAUGCCUUACACAUGCAAGUCGAACGGCAGCACGGGUGCUUGCCCCUGGUGGCGAGUGGCGAACGGGUGAGUAAUACAUCGGAACAUGUCCUGUAGUGGGGGAUAGCCCGGCGAAAGCCGGAUUAAUACCGCAUACGAUCUACGGAUGAAAGCGGGGGACCUUCGGGCCUCGCGCUAUAGGGUUGGCCGAUGGCUGAUUAGCUAGUUGGUGGGGUAAAGGCCUACCAAGGCGACGAUCAGUAGCUGGUCUGAGAGGACGACCAGCCACACUGGGACUGAGACACGGCCCAGACUCCUACGGGAGGCAGCAGUGGGGAAUUUUGGACAAUGGGCGAAAGCCUGAUCCAGCAAUGCCGCGUGUGUGAAGAAGGCCUUCGGGUUGUAAAGCACUUUUGUCCGGAAAGAAAUCCUUGGCCCUAAUACGGUCGGGGGAUGACGGUACCGGCAGAAUAAGCACCGGCUAACUACGUG
rnacentral:rRNA from 1 species